rnacentral:rRNA from 1 species
UGGGGAAUUUUGGACAAUGGGGGAAACCCUGAUCCAGCCAUCCCGCGUGUGCGAUGAAGGCCUUCGGGUUGUAAAGCACUUUUGGCAGGAAAGAAACGUCGCGGGUUAAUACCCCGCGAAACUGACGGUACCUGCAGAAUAAGCACCGGCUAACUACGUGCCAGCAGCCGCGGUAAUACGUAGGGUGCAAGCGUUAAUCGGAAUUACUGGGCGUAAAGCGUGCGCAGGCGGUUCGGAAAGAAAGAUGUGAAAUCCCAGAGCUUAACUUUGGAACUGCAUUUUAACUACCGGGCUAGAGUGUGUCAGAGGGAGGUGGAAUUCCGCGUGUAGCAGUGAAAUGCGUAGAUAUGCGGAGGAACACCGAUGGCGAAGGCAGCCUCCUGGGAUAACACUGACGCUCAUGCACGAAAGCGUGGGGAGCAAACAGGAUUAGAUACCCUGGUAGUCCACGCCCUAAACGAUGUCAACUAGCUGUUGGGGCCUUCGGGCCUUGGUAGCGUAGCUAACGCGUGAAGUUGACCGCCUGGGGAGUACGGUCGCAAGAUUAAAACUUAAAUGAAUUG